UAUCACGGGAGACACACGGCGGGUGCUAACGUCCGUCGUGAAGAGGGAAACAACCCAGACCGCCAGCUAAGGUCCCAAAGUCAUGGUUAAGUGGGAAACGAUGUGGGAAGGCCCAGACAGCCAGGAUGUUGGCUUAGAAGCAGCCAUCAUUUAAAGAAAGCGUAAUAGCUCACUGGUCGAGUCGGCCUGCGCGGAAGAUGUAACGGGGCUAAACCAUGCACCGAAGCUGCGGCAGCGACACUGUGUGUUGUUGGGUAGGGGAGCGUUCUGUAAGCCUGUGAAGGUGUGUCGUGAGGCAUGCUGGAGGUAUCAGAAGUGCGAAUGCUGACAUAAGUAACGAUAAAGCGGGUGAAAAGCCCGCUCGCCGGAAGACCAAGGGUUCCUGUCCAACGUUAAUCGGGGCAGGGUGAGUCGACCCCUAAGGCGAGGCCGAAAGGCGUAGUCGAUGGGAAACGGGUUAAUAUUCCCGUACUUGGUGUUACUGCGAAGGGGGGACGGAGAAGGCUAUGUUGGCCGGGCGACGGUUGUCCCGGUUUAAGCGUGUAGGUGUGUGUUCCAGGUAAAUCCGGUUCACUUUAACACUGAGGCGUGACGACGAGGCACUACGGUGCUGAAGCAACAAAUGCCCUGCUUCCAGGAAAAGCCUCUAAGCAUCAGGUAACAUCAAAUCGUACCCCAAACCGACACAGGUGGUCAGGUAGAGAAUACCAAGGCGCUUGAGAGAACUCGGGUGAAGGAACUAGGCAAAAUGGUGCCGUAACUUCGGGAGAAGGCACGCUGACACGUAGGUGAAGUGAUUUACUCAUGGAGCUGAAGUCAGUCGAAGAUACCAGCUGGCUGCAACUGUUUAUUAAAAACACAGCACUGUGCAAACACGAAAGUGGACGUAUACGGUGUGACGCCUGCCCGGUGCCGGAAGGUUAAUUGAUGGGGUCAGCGCAAGCGAAGCUCCUGAUCGAAGCCCCGGUAAACGGCGGCCGUAACUAUAACGGUCCUAAGGUAGCGAAAUUCCUUGUCGGGUAAGUUCCGACCUGCACGAAUGGCGUAAUGAUGGCCAGGCUGUCUCCACCCGAGACUCAGUGAAAUUGAACUCGCUGUGAAGAUGCAGUGUACCCGCGGCAAGACGGAAAGACCCCGUGAACCUUUACUAUAGCUUGACACUGAACAUUGAGCCUUGAUGUGUAGGAUAGGUGGGAGGCUUUGAAGCGUGGACGCCAGUCUGCGUGGAGCCGGCCUUGAAAUACCACCCUUUAAUGUUUGAUGUUCUAACGUGGACCCGUGAUCCGGGUUGCGGACAGUGUCUGGUGGGUAGUUUGACUGGGGCGGUCUCCUCCUAAAGAGUAACGGAGGAGCACGAAGGUUGGCUAAUCCUGGUCGGACAUCAGGAGGUUAGUGCAAUGGCAUAAGCCAGCUUGACUGCGAGCGUGACGGCGCGAGCAGGUGCGAAAGCAGGUCAUAGUGAUCCGGUGGUUCUGAAUGGAAGGGCCAUCGCUCAACGGAUAAAAGGUACUCCGGGGAUAACAGGCUGAUACCGCCCAAGAGUUCAUAUCGACGGCGGUGUUUGGCACCUCGAUGUCGGCUCAUCACAUCCUGGGGCUGAAGUAGGUCCCAAGGGUAUGGCUGUUCGCCAUUUAAAGUGGUACGCGAGCUGGGUUUAGAACGUCGUGAGACAGUUCGGUCCCUAUCUGCCGUGGGCGCUGGAGAACUGAGGGGGGCUGCUCCUAGUACGAGAGGACCGGAGUGGACGCAUCACUGGUGUUCGGGUUGUCAUGCCAAUGGCACUGCCCGGUAGCUAAAUGCGGAAGAGAUAAGUGCUGAAAGCAUCUAAGCACGAAACUUGCCCCGA
rnacentral:rRNA from 1 species